AGAACCUGGAUACUCUGGAGAUGAGACUUAAGGCAAGAAUGGAAGCGGAGACAUGAAGCUACUACGGGUCAAGUCACGGAACUAACAAGAAGUGGAGCUAGAGUUGGAACACAAGUCCUUCUGAUGCCAAAGCCUAUCUACAUCAACAUGUCCUCAGGUUUGGCUAUUCCCUCUUCUAGGCAAAAAUGUCCAGUAGUUAGUGAAAAACAUUGAUGAGGCAACAGGUUUCUGUUUUACAAGUGAGGAAAUUGAGGCAUAUAGCAAUUCCCUUGUUCAGUGUACUGUAUCGUUUGAAGAAAUAUGACAUUUGGAAAAGAAAAAGUGACUUCAAAGCAGAACUGAAAGACUGUUGCUUUUAAGUGCUCCUCUGUAGAGCAGUAAAUGGAAGUAUAAGAAGAGAAGAGAGAUGUGACAGUGUGACCUGUAACUUUCUUCCCAAAAGAAUAGAACUUUCCCCUGUGCCUUUUGACCACAGUUACUCUUUCAUACCUUGUAAGCAUUUUUUUCCUUAUGUUUUUUCUGUCCCUGUUCCUUAAUUCCUCAGAAAUAGCAACUUGGUAAUCUUUUGCAUGGUAUCCCAAAUAGUAUUGUGAAUAGAUGAAUGCUUAAUGAAGUUAGGGUAGUGGGCAAGGGUAUUUCUAAGAAGUCUUGGAGGGGUGAUUUCUGUCCCUUACCCUCUAGCUGUUAUGCUUUAGAACUUCUGAGCCUUUUAUGCUUCUAAGAG